rnacentral:lncRNA from 1 species
AACACAUUAAGGUACUAGCCAAAAAUGAAGACUAAGCCUUAGGAAGAGUUUGAAGUGGUUUUGGCACUUAAUCUUGGAGUUUACGGCCUAAGGAGCAUCUUGGCCGUAAACUCCCUUCCAAAGUUGGUUUCUAAUUGUUUUGUGGGUCUAAAUCAUGAGUUUAAGGCUUCUAGGUUCUUGUUCUAAGGCUAAAGGAACACUAGGCACUCAUUUGUGCCCUUUACUUGGAGUUUACGGCCCAAGAGGUUGUUCCUUGGCCGUAAACUCCUCAAACUACUUGCUUUUGAUUUGUUUCUAGCCUCUAAUGAUCAUACACUAAGUCCUUAGUUAGAUGCCUAACACGGAAAUGGGACUAGGUGGCCUUUAGGCUUGAUUUUGGAGUUUACUCCCCAAGAACGUUCUUGGGCGGUAAACUCCCGGAUCUUGUGUUUUGGACAUGUAAACAAUGUUAUAAAGCAUAUAACAAGUAUUAAAACACAUUUAGGGAAGUAGACUCACAAUCUGGGAUGAAAACCCGAAGAUCCGUGAGAGAGUAUUUGGCUUUUCUCUAAAUGGAAAUCAAAUAAUGAACCAAUUUGGUUCAGAAUUCUAUUUAUAGUCCAGAGAUUUUUGGCAGAAAAUAUUUCUAUUCUCGGAAUGGAUUCUAAUGACCUAGAGUAAUGGAAUUACAGUGUUGCACAAAAUCCUAGUGCACCCACUCUCCUAAUAACUCCUUAGGUGUAAAACCCUAAAACUGCCAAACUUAUUCCAAAAGUUUGAAUUUUCACUGAAACUGCUCUACUUCCAUUGGAUUGAUGUGGUUUGAUUUGAAUGGAAAAUUUCGGGUUGUCACAGUUAAGGGGUAUGAACUCACCUGCAGUAUGUGACUGGAAUUGAACGGGCUGUUAUCGUACGGAAGGAUCAGACAAGUGCUUGGUGUCAAGUGAAGACUUAGACACACACAAUGAUCCUAAUUACAUAUGAAACAUAUGUAUAUAAAUAAUUAGUGAUUAUAACACUAAUUAUACAAGUAAUAACAUUUAAGCGCGAGGACAACACUUUUGGUCAAGUGCUAGGAGGCUAAUGGGUUGCAACAAAGAAGUGCAAUGCCCCUAAUGAAAGUUUAAGGUCAAAAGACCAUAUUCAUUAGAGUUUACGGCCCAGGGGAGUAAGCUCCUGGCCGUAAACUCUCAAACAAGUCAUGAAAUGGAGUUUAAAAGUACUACAACCUUAGAGGGGAAUUGUUUCAAGGCUAUACAAGUGUUUGGGCACCACAUUGACUCCUUUGGGGAGUUUACGGCCCAAAGACCCUUCUCCCUUGGAGUUUACGGCCGUAAACUCCCUUGGGAGGGUUCUUAUUGUCCUUUCAAGUCUCUAACAUUUCUAGGAACAAGUCUAGGCUUCAAUACUUGGAUCAAGGGAGGUUUAUGGCAUUAAAUGGAACCAUUUGAUGGAGUUUACGGCCAUAGAACUCUUUGGGCCGUAAACUCCCUCACACAUGAGGUUCUAAGAAUUUUAACUAGCCCAAAACUCAUCUAGGUACUUGCCCUAAAAGUCUCUUGGCCUAAGGAAGUGUCUAGGGUGUCCUUUGACCCCUUUAAAGGAGUUUACGGCCCAAGAAAUACUCUUGGCCGUAAACUCUUCAACACUUGAGCUUUUCAUGAUUUUUCUAGGUCCUAAACACAUUAAGGUACUAGCCAAAAAUGAAGACUAAGCCUUAGGAAGAGUUUGAAGUGGUUUUGGCCCUAAAUCUUGGAGUUUACGGCCUAAGGAGCAUCUUGGCCGUAAACUCCCUUCCAAAGUGUGUUUCUAAAUGUUUUGUUGGUCUAAAACACUUGCUUAAGGCUUCUAGGUACUUGUUCUAAGGCUAAAGGAUCACUAGGCACUCAUUUGUGCCCUUUACUUGGAGUUUACGGCCCAAGAGGUGGUUCCUUGGCCGUAAACUCCUCAAACUACUUGCUUUUGAUUUGCUUCUAGCCUCUAAUGAUCAUACACUAAGUCCUUAGUUAGAUGCCUAACACGGAAAUGGGACUAGGUGGCCUUUAGGCUUGAUUUUGGAGUUUACUCCCCAAGAACGUUCUUGGGCGGUAAACUCCUGGAUCUAGUGUUUUGGACUUGUAAACAAUGUUAUAAAGCAUAUAAC